rnacentral:rRNA from 1 species
CCUACGGGACGCAGCAGUGGGGAAUAUUGCACAAUGGGCGCAAGCCUGAUGCAGCCAUGCCGCGUGUGUGAAGAAGGCCUUCGGGUUGUAAAGCACUUUCAGCGGGGAGGAAGGCGGUGAGGUUAAUAACCUCACCGAUUGACGUUACCCGCAGAAGAAGCACCGGCUAACUCCGUGCCAGCAGCCGCGGUAAUACGGAGGGUGCAAGCGUUAAUCGGAAUUACUGGGCGUAAAGCGCACGCAGGCGGUCUGUCAAGUCGGAUGUGAAAUCCCCGGGCUCAACCCGGGGACUGCAUUCGAAACUGGCAGGCUAGAGUCUUGUAGAGGGGGGUAGAAUUCCAGGUGUAGCGGUGAAAUGCGUAGAGACCUGGAGGAAUACCGGUGGCGAAGGCGGCCCCCUGGACAAAGACUGACGCUCAGGUGCGAAAGCGUGGGGAGCAAACAGGAUAGAUACCCGGGUAGUC